GGGGUUAUAGCUCAAUGGUAGAGCAUUGACUGCAUAUCGAGUGGUCCCCUGUUCAAACCAGGGAGUUCUUCUUCA